AAUUAAGAAAUAAAUAUUUAUAUUCAAUUACGGUUUGAAUUUUUGAUUUUAAUUAAUCCUUAAUUG
rnacentral:tRNA from 1 species